GCUUAUCACCAUUCCAGAUUGAAUAUACCCGCUCUCGUCUGAUCUCGGAAGUCAAGCAAUCUCGGGCUUGGUUAGUCUUGGAUGGGUGACCGCUUGGGAAUACCAAGUGUGAUAAGCA
rnacentral:rRNA from 1 species